AAUCAGUACAAAGCGAAGGCAAAGUUGUUUGUUUCCGAGAUACUUCCUGCACCUGCGAUGCUGUCAGUGAUUUUUGAAGUUAUCUUUUCAUUGUGAGCAGAGGAAGAAUGGUGGGAGAGGAAAAGAUGCACCGUAGACGCCAAAACAGUGAUCCUCUGGAAACGCUGAUAAAUGAAAUGCUAAUGAAUCAUAGAGUGGUUAUGUUUUGCAGAGUCUAGUUUUAUUCUGAUUUCAGAGCCUUGACACAGUUUUCAUUUAAAUGUCAUUGGAUGCAUUUCGGUAAUAAAGACAACUGUCAUUUUACUUUAAAAAAUAAAACUAGAAAUGUAAAUUUAAUUCUACAGGAUUUCGUUAAUAUUGUUCACGCGAGAAAGUCACAAUUAUGGUAUUACUUGCAACAGUGAACAUUAAUAAGUCCCGUGUGAUACUGUCAUUUGCUAAUUGGAAAGAGAAGCAUCUUUCAAACUUGGAAAGUCAGAGAAUGUCUUAUACCGUACGUGUAAAAAGUGACUUGAAUCUUCCAUUGGGCUCCAGGGGAAUCUCAAUACCAGGAAAACGAGUGAUGGGUCAGCUCCAUUGUGGAAAGUCAGUAAAUAUUUAAUAAUUAGUCUGCAUUGGAUUGCUGCACUAUAUAUACUCCAAAUGAUACAAUAUGGAAAUACUUCAAUUCUGAUCAUCUUUGGGUUUCAAAUCACUCAUACCUAUUUGUAAAUUGUAUUAAUCAGGUUUGAAGCGAAACUUCUAAUCAUUUGGAUCUAUCUAAAUGCCAAUAUGAUUCCCCACUUAAUAGAAAUGUUGGGCAGAAUGAAAAAUAUUUUGGAACCUAUCCUUGGUACCCAGAGCACAGUUUACCCUUCCUAAUGUCUCUUGUCUGUCUUCACUUUUAGGAAUCCAUGAUUCUGGCAUAUGUCAACAUGUUAAAAACCUGUGAUAGUUUCUUUUAUGCAGCCUUACUUUUCAACUAUCCAUCCACCCAUCUUUGUUAAAGAAGCUCAGGUGCUGCCCUGUAUGGGUGUUUGAAAUGAGGAGCUGACAUUUUUGGGGGGGAGGUAGUCGGCAAUACUCCAUUGGUAAGAAUUCCUCAUCAGAUCAUAUGAAAAUGAAUUGGGCUUUCCUAUCUUUAUGUUGUUUUAGUUCUGUUCUCAAUGUGAUAUUAUCACACUGUUGGGCUGCUCAUCUCUCUUGCUUGUCUGUAUCUCCAUGUCUAGCUUGGUGCCUGGGUUGGAGCAAGGGCUUAAUGAAUGUGAGUUGAUUUGAAAUUCAGAAUGUAAUGAAGAUAUCCUGCAGGUCACAUCCUUCCUUUUAUAUUCUUGAUGAAAGCAUCUUGGGGUUGUAAAAUAUAGACCUACUAUAUAUUAGGGCUCAUAGAGGGAGCAGCAAGCAAAGCUCAGGUGGACUUUAUUACAUAUUGAUUUUGCCCUCGUGAUGAAGCAGUCUUAUAAAAUGUGUGAAGCCAGGUUGGAGCAGUAGCUUCACCACUAGGGGCCUCUUCUGCAUAGCGGAUCACCCUGGGCUGUCAUUUAGCACCAUUCCUCUGCCCUCUGAAGUAGUAGAGGCAUUUAACUUCCUGGGUACUCCACAUGGAAUACCGUAUGAGAAAAAGGCAACCUUGUGUGAAAAUCAUUACCAAAGACUCGCAAAUAAAUGAAAGUGGUCUUAAAUGAUGGAUUCAGUACGGUUUUUGAAUAAUAUUAAAGGUUUAAAGGAGAUUUAAGAGUUGGGCUUUUUACUUUUAUAUCCUAAUAUUCAGAUACAUGAUUUCUUAAAACUUAAAAACGAAUCUAAUAUAUACAUUUUGAUCUAGUAAUUUUAAAGUUUUUCUUUGUGUGUGUGUCUUUGAUGGAGCUUAUUUUCAUCUUUUGAUGUUUAAAAUUGCCUCAUCUCAGUGGGUGUUUGCAGCAACAACAGCAAGGUGAAUUAUUUCUCAAGGGAUUUUGUCUCGCCAGUUGAAGCUCCUGGUGUCUUUUCCUUUUUUAAUAAAGGGGCAGCCCAUUAAAUUCCACCAUUAAAAGUGUUUUGUCAUAUUUCAAGACGUAUAAUUGAAAGGCGCCUUUCUUCUGUGUGAGUUUUGGGAAAGCCCUCUCAUUUCUAGUUUGAAUGAAGUUAGUCAGCUCUGAAAAUAUUCACUGACAACUUAAAAGUGUUUUUAUUUAUUUGUUUUUAUUUGCCAGAUAUAAUUUGCUAUGUGGUAGAAAGAGUACAGAUAAUGUACUCUUUAACUCUUUAAUGUACUCUUUAACAAACACUAUAACUCACAAUAUUGCCAUAUUGUUUGCCAUUGAGUAAGAGAACAUUGUAUUUUCAGGUUUCCUGUGAAAUUUAAUUAUAGUGACAAACUAAACACCUUCAAUCUAUAAAGGAAAGUUAACUACAAUGACAGAAAAGUUCAGCACAUUGUGGGCCUGAAACCUUUCUAGGGGUUUCUUAACCUUAUUUAAUAGCAAAAUGUCUCUGAAUUCAGAAAAUUAUCAGACAUCCAAUUCUCAUUUUUUAUAUGGUGGAAUUUUCAACAAGACAAUCUGUUUUUUGAUGUUAUUCUGUCAAGGUCUAGGUCAGUCCUCGUUAGAGAAAGGGUAAUAGGAAUGACUUCUGUGUGAAAAUGUAGGUAGUUUUUAUCACUUUUCUCUGAUUAGGGUGAAUUUUUUGAAUUGCUUUUAAGAUUCUGUGCAUGUCAUAGUUAUGCAGAUCCUGUUUGUAAGAACUAAUAGUUUUCUAGAACCGGAAGAGAUUUGUUAUUACUUCCAAAUCCCCAACUAGAGAAGGGGAUGACACUUUCCUGACUCCUUCCUCUGCCCGUACUGAAGGUAAACCUAAGCCAAAAUGAUAGAUAUAGUGCUUUAUGCAGAACAUGAUGAUUUCCCUUGGGUGAGAACCCCGAGCAGACCAAGAUUAUAGAUGCUUGAGGUGGGAGAAAAUGAAUGGGUCUUUAUACCUGGGAGUCAUUUUUAGAAACCUGCAUUUGGGAGUGCCACCUGAAUAGGAAUGACAACUGUUUGCUAGAAUUUUCCACGAAAUGUUUUAAACCUAUCACUUAGUGAAACAUUCCCUUGCUGCGCAGAUAAUUUUUGUUGUUGUUUUUAGGCAGUGCAAAACAUAACAUUUGGUUUAUCCUGGGGUUACAUCCGCUGCUUCGUUUUAUUUUCACACACAAAGGACAUUUGAAUUGAGUGAGGAAAAGGGAAGCAGGAAACCGGGAGGAGGUGGAUGUGAAUGUCUAUUUAUACUGAACUUUGAGGCCAGCCUUUUUGCAUUCCCAAGGCACAUGGGCACCGAGGGCAGCCUCCUAUUAGGAAUUCAUGGGUGAUUUUUGUGAAUACCUUCUAAUCUGCUUUUAAAAUGGUGGUCUUUGGAUUAGGUCCUAGGUGUCCUCCAAAGUGACUUUCUACUUUUGUCUCCCAUGGGUUAGAUACUUGUUAAAGUUAAUGUAUUUGUUAAAUAAUUUAUGUAAACAGCAUUGCCGCUCGUCUGUGAGGUGUCUUUGUGCAAGUUAGCACUGGGCAACCCUUCUGUGGUUGGAUGUCCUAUGCCAGGGGUCAAACUGGGUAAACAGACAGUGGACUGGACUCUCGCCUGCUCGUCUCAUCUCCCUGCUGGGCUCUUGUGUGCUACAUUCUCUGUAGCCGUGUGUGAUGCUGUUAUCUGUAAAAGUGGUUAGAAAAGUCUCCAGCACAUAGUAACACACACACACACUCACACACACGCACAUGCACACUCAUAUAAAAUUGCUGGUGGUUAUUAUUAUUGACUGAGUUGCUUUCAGGGUAGACCGUUCUAGUAAUCACGAUAAUAUCAAUCAGAGCAUCCAGUGAAUCGGAUGCUUCUAACAGUGUUUGUAAGGGCAAGUAGUUCAUCCAGGGUCUCUCAUUGUACUACCCCUGCACCUCUUCCCUUCCCAUGAUAAAAGUGGCUCCAUUGAUGGAGCCCUUAACUACAUAGCAGUGCGUGCCAGGUGUGGGAUAGGAGCUCUUCAUUUAAUCAGCACAGGCCCCUUAGGUGGGGUGCACUGUUAUUAUCUGCGUUUCAACCUUAGACAGAAUGCACCAUCAUUGUCUGUGUUUUAUAGACACAUGGACCAGUGUUUACAAGAUGAAAGUUGUGACUGUAGCAGAGAGAUCUCUCAACAUCCUUUGGACACUCUCAGCAAGACUGUGAAGGUUCACCUGGGAGGUCUCUAGGGGAAAAUCAACAUGCUGUGACAAAGAGACUCCGUGUGAAUUUAGUGCCUUAGCAAAGGUAAGUCUGAGGGGAGCAUUCCAGAUGGGCAGAGUAGUUGUGCUGCAUGGAGUCUUUGAAGGACCCAGGUUCCUCCCAAUUCAUGGCUCCAUCAUCUUCCCUGUGAUAGAGCUGGCUGACAGCCUUGAGAAGAUUCUGCCCGGGGAACGGAAGAAAGCAGAGGUUGCUUGUGAUAACUUUGUGAUACUUUUGCUCCCCUUUCAUUGGAGAGAACUCAGUCAUGCCACCUUUGUCACAUGGCUAUACCUACCUGCUAGAAAGGCUGGGCAAUGCUCACCAGCUAUGGUAUUGGGAGAAAAGGAGAGCAGAUUCUGAUGGGUGGGUAGUCAGUCUGCAGUCCCCGCUAUAUAUGUAAAAAAGGAGCACAUAAUUAUCUCCAUAAAAAUAGCCUAUCAUCACUCUAAGAAAUCUUGAAGGAAAGAAAAUGUAUAAAAAUGGGAUAAAAUCACUUCUAACUCCACUGAAGUGGACUUGAAAAACAGACAAACUACCCAACGACCACUCCUUCUCACAAGCUCCCUGAUUUCCUUGUGGGGAACUGGAUCUCUCCUCCAGAAGAUGGAGUCUGGCGCGGUUGAGAACCACUUGCCUUGUUCUCCUCUAGCCCCAAACUAGGAGAAUGGAAUGUUCCUUCCCAAGAACUUGAAUUUCGAGGAGAGCUGACAAAGAUAUUAAAAGUGCUGGUGACACCUCCUUCUGGUGGCACCUUGACCUGUAUUCCUAUGUGAAGAUGUUCUUGGAAUUGCUGUCUAGAAGUUUCUAGAACUGCAAUUGUGUUACUUUUUAAGCUUGGCUUCCCUCUUUUCAAUCCCUUGAGCUCCCUGUGACCCAGUGAAACCCUGUUUUGUUGAAGUUAGUCGGAAUGGAUUCCUAUUUUUUGCCACUAACAAACUCUCACCAAUACAGUUGCUAUUCAGAGGAAAUUUCUGACACUUCUUUUACUUUCCUUCUAUUGUCUUCUAAAAUAUAUAUGCACAUAGUCAAUACUGUAUUGUUCACACAGUUUUAUACCUAUUGUUAAAUAUUUUUACAUGAUGGCUAUAGUUAAUAAUGUAUUCUAUAUUCAAAAAUUACUGAAAUAAUAGUAGAUAUUACCAGUAGAAAAAUAGUAUGUGAAAUGAUAGAUAUCUUAAUUGCUUCAAAAUAUAUAUGUAUAUCAAAACAUCAGUUUGGAUACUAUAACUAUAUAGAAUUUUUACUUGUCAAUUAUUCCUUAAUGAAGAGGGUGAAACAAAAAAUAAAAGUGAAAACAAAAUAAAUCUAUGAAAAACAUGAGUAUUUUUUUCAUUUUAUGAAAGUAGCUAUAGAAUAUUGAUUGCAUGAGUGGUCCAUAUUUUUAAGGGAGUUAAUUUUUGUAUCCUAAAUAAACACCUUUUCCUUUAUUAUAUAUCAUUUUAGGACCCUGGCGGUAUUUUAUUUAUUAAAGUUCUUAUAUAUGGUUGCAAAAGACUUAAUUUUCACUUAAAGUUUAUAACUAUUCAUAAUUACCUUCCCCUUUUGCAAUAGUGGAAUUGAACCCAGGUCUUAGCACUGACCUAUAUUCUCAGCUCUUUAAAAUUGUUUAUUUUGAGUUUCCCAGGCUGGGCUCCAACUUGCAGUCCUUCUGACUCAGCCCCCGAG
rnacentral:lncRNA from 1 species